rnacentral:rRNA from 1 species
AGAUUGAACGCUGGCGGCAGGCCUAACACAUGCAAGUCGAGCGGCAGCACGGGUACUUGUACCUGGUGGCGAGCGGCGGACGGGUGAGUAAUGCCUAGGAAUCUGCCUGAUAGUGGGGGAUAACGUUCGGAAACGGACGCUAAUACCGCAUACGUCCUACGGGAGAAAGUGGGGGAUCUUCGGACCUCACGCUAUCAGAUGAGCCUAGGUCGGAUUAGCUAGUUGGUAGGGUAAAGGCCUACCAAGGCUACGAUCCGUAACUGGUCUGAGAGGAUGAUCAGUCACACUGGAACUGAGACACGGUCCAGACUCCUACGGGAGCAGCAGUGGGGAAUAUUGGACAAUGGGCGAAAGCCUGAUCCAGCCAUGCCGCGUGUGUGAAGAGGUCUUCGGAUUGAAAGCAUUAGUGGAGAGGCAUUAACCAAUACGUUAGUGUUUGACGUUACGACAGAAUAAGCACCGGCUAACUCUGUGCCAGCAGCCG